ACGGGCGCGCCCCACCAGAGUUCCGUGAGUUGACUGGUCUGAUUUGAGAAGCCGCGCGCCGAGUCGUCAGCGUUUCACGUCGGCGAUGCAAAUAUGGCAGCUGGAAGAACCAAGUCCUUCCAUCAUGUCGGGAGUCUCAUGCGCAGCAAAUCCGAAGGGACCUUGAUUGAUCUGAAUGACAGUGCCGCACUAACCAACAACAAUCUGAAUGGUAGUCAUGUCUCACAAAUGACAAAGCACCCGCAGUGGCCAGUGUUACUUCCAGAAGUCACACAUUCAACUCAAACCACUAACCCAUUCUGGAACAAGCUGUCUGGAUCAAACCCUUUCCUGGAUGACAUUGUACAUGGUGACACAGAGAAAAAUAUUUCCAAUAUAUCAGGUCUAAAAGGGGGACCCACAAACCUUGUGGAUAGCAGUAAUGAUGAUGCAGGAAGUACGUCGUCAGACGAAACCAAUUUGGAGAAUUUUUUUCUGGAAUCCAAACACAAGGUCACGAACAGAUCCGGUAGAUGGAGGAGCGCUUCAGAUAUUCUGGAUGACUUGGAGAGAAAGGAGUUGAAACGGGAAAAGAACCUGAGACUGUCCGGACCUGUUUUAAACCCAGAUUUCGAGUGGCUAAAGAAUGACAGGGAGGCCUAUAAGAUGGCCUGGCUGAGCCACAGACAGUUAACCAGGUCAUGCCUUGACUUGGGUCUGAUAAGCCAGAGCCCUGGAUGGGCUCAGACUCAGGCUACUGACUCUCAAAUCGUUUGCAAGAUUAGUCACUCUGGAGGUUCAUUACAGCUACCAGACUCUGAAAUCAGUGUCCACAUCCCAGAAGGCCAUGUUCCUCCUGGGGAAGUUCAGGAGGUUGCACUAAAAGCAAUACUAGAACCUCCUCAUGGACUCAACAACAGCUAUAUGACAACACUGAGUCCACUUCUGGAAGUGAGUCUCAGCAACCUCAACAUAAAGGAAUAUAUUUCUCUGGAGAUGAAACUAUCCGGAAACAUUAAGGGUGACCCAGUAAGUCAGGUAAUGACUACCCUGGUGGGGCUAGUGUCUAACAGGAGAGAGGGGCCUUAUCAUAAAGUAAAGGACUGUUACAUUUACAAAAACAUUAUGCAACUGAAGCUGCAGGACUUGAAGACACAUUUUUUUGUCACUGCAGCUGCAGAAGCUUCUGCUAUCCAACCCCCUGCCGCAUCGGUUUGGGAUUACCUUGACCGUGAAGUCACCUUGGCAGUUUAUGGUCCCAGGUACAUCCAUCCAUCUUUCAAGGUGGUUAUUGUGGUAUCAUGUCAUGAUGAUGUUCCACCAAGGCUCCCAUUUUCAGAUAUACAAAGAGGCAACAGGAAUUUGCCUCCGCUGGUGCUGCAGCUGUGGGGGAAACAUCAUUUCAAGCCAGAUAAAGUAAAAGACAUGUACAUAGACAUUAGUGUCACAGAUUCAGUGUUUGAAGUCAAAGCUGAGGACAAAAUGAAAGAAGUGAGACAAAGCCAACUAAAAAUGGGAAGAGUUUUACAUCUGCCACUUGCUUUGUGUCACAUUGGUAAUGCACUGAUGACUCCAUUCCGUUUAGAAGUACACGUGACGGAAUCGAACGGUGUCACGAUUGCACAUUUUCAGGUGCCCUCCGCGGUGGCUGCACCUGUGCGGCCAGAAAAGCGAGGUCCGAGGCAAUUGGACAGGAGAAAGGAGAUGGCAAGAACCUCAACCAUUCCUGAGGAAUUUGUUUCCGAAUUCCCCAAGUUCCAGGACAGAGCCGUGAACCUGCAAUGGUAUGGUGUGGCUCUGAAGUCAGUGCUCCGCCAGCCACGAGUGGAAUACCUUCUGGAGUACUUCAAGGGGGACACAGUGGCUCUCCUGUCCAGGGAAACCGUCAGGUCAGUGGGCAACUCCAGGGUUAAAGAGUGGUAUAUUGGAUUUCUCAGAGGCAGGACUGGCUUGGUUCACUGCAAAAAUGUCAAGCUCAUCACCAGCGACCAGGUGAUUGACUUUACUGGUAUUCAUGUCACCACAGAGGUCCUGCUGGACAACAUGACACUACCCUUCAAGAAGCUUACUUACAUGUACUCAGCCAUUCAGACACUGGUCACCGAACAUAUAAACAGCUGGAGAGGUUUUGCAGACGCCCUGGGGUACUCUAACUUGUCCUUGGACACCAUCACACGUAGAUAUGCUGAAACUGAAGCUGAUAAGGUGGCCUGCGUUCUGGAAACACUGAAAGAAGAUUGCCAUGCUGAGAAGAGCAGCAGAAAGUUCCAACAUGAGCUCAUGGUUGGUCUGUUGAAGAUGGACUCUUUGGGUCUGGUGGCACAGCUGAUUCAGAAUACAGUCAUUUUGUCUACUGCAGUAGAGCUGGGUGUUCGAUGGAGGGAACUCGCUGAGAAGACUGUAAAACUUACCAGUGCUCAGAUAGCGGGCUAUGAGGCUCCACACCGAGGGAGGAAUGGGGAAGUCAGUGCUCAGUCAAUGUGGAAACCUGCCUAUGACUUCCUGUAUUCCUGGAGCCUGCGCUACAGAGACAGCUACAAGGACAUGAUCCAGGACCUUCACUUGAUCUUGGACAAAAUGAGGAACCCUGUCACCAGACAAUGGAGACAGCUAACUGGAGCUCUUAUCACGGUGAACUGUCUAGAUAUCCUUCGAGCUUCUGCGUACCCCAAGACCUAGAGCGUCCCCAGUCAAUUUGAAGAUGCUCCGAAGAGACGACCACCAUCCUGCACUUGGAAACCAGAGCACCCAGAGGAAACCCACGCAGACACAGGGAGAACAGAACAUGCAAACUCCACGUAGAGCACGACCCCCCCCCCUCAAGGUUGGACUGCCCCGGGGCUCGAACCCAGGACCUUCUUGCUGUGAGGCAACCACGCUAACCACUGCGCCGCCAGCAGUAGACGUGUGGCUGAUCAAAUCAAAAGUCCUUUAUCAGAUCGACGGGAGAGAUGCUGACCGCUCUCCAAAGUACACAGGGCUUUGUACUUACGUACCAGCAUCAUCAGCUCAACUGCAUUAACCCAAAUUUCAGUUUGGCCAACUUCAUUGCUGGUUUCAACACAUUAUAUAUGUUCUAUAACUUAGCCUGGUCGCAAAAGAAUUAAAAUUCACCAUUAUUAAGAUUUAAAGUAAACAUAGCAAUCAUUUAGGACUAGGGUACUUCAUAAAGUCAGACCGGAAUCAGUAAUCAGACUUAACUUUUUGUCUAAAAGUGUUCAAAAUGGAAUAAUAAACAA